rnacentral:rRNA from 1 species
AUUGAACGCUGGCGGCAGGCCUAACACAUGCAAGUCGAGCGGCGGUGCAGACGCGGGAGGAAUACCUAGGAAUCUGCCUGUUAGUGGUAGAUGACGUCCGGAAAUGGGCGCUAAUACCGCAUACUAUCAGAUGAGCCUGGGUCGGAUUGGCUAGUUGGUGGGGUAAAGGCCUACCAAGGCGACGAUCCGUAACUGGUCUGAGAGGAUGAUCAGUCACACUGGAACUGAGACACGGCCCAGACUCCUACGGGAGGCAGCAGUGGGGAAUAUUGGACAAUGGGCGAAAGCCUGAUGCAGCCAUGCCGCGUGUGUGAAGAAGGUCUUCGGAUUGUAAAGUACUUUAAGUUGGGAGGCGUUACCAACAGAAUAAGCACCGGCUAACUUCGUGCCAGCAGCCGCGGUAAUUC